rnacentral:rRNA from 1 species
CGGACGGGUGAGUAAUGUCUGGGAAACUGCCUGAUGGAGGGGGAUAACUACUGGAAACGGUAGCUAAUACCGCAUAACGUCGCAAGACCAAAGAGGGGGACCUUCGGGCCUCUUGCCAUCGGAUGUGCCCAGAUGGGAUUAGCUAGUAGGUGGGGUAACGGCUCACCUAGGCGACGAUCCCUAGUUGGUCUGAGAGGAUGACCAGCCACACUGGAACUGAGACACGGUCCAG